GACAAACGCUGGCGGCGUGCCUAAUACAUGCAAGUCGAACGGUCUUCCUUAGGGAAGAUAGUGGCGGACGGGUGAGUAACACGUAGAUAACCUACCCCCAAGUGGGGAAUAACAUCUCGAAAGAGAUGCUAAUACCGCAUACGCUCUCUGUUGUGAGACAGAAAGGAAAGCUAAAUGCGCUUAGGGAGGGGUCUGCGGCGGAUUAGCUAGAUGGUGGGGUAAAGGCCUACCAUGGCGACGAUCCGUAGCUGGUCUGAGAGGACGAUCAGCCACACUG
rnacentral:rRNA from 1 species